AUUGAACGCUGGCGGCAGGCCUAACACAUGCAAGUCGAACGAGUGGCGGACGGGUGAGUAAUGUCUGGGAAACUGCCUGAUGGAGGGGGAUAACUACUGGACACGGUAGCUAAUACCGCAUACCAUCAGAUGUACCCAUAGGGGAUUAGCUUGUUGGUGGGGUAACGGCUCACCAAGGCGACGAUCCCUAGCUGGGCUGAGAGGAUGACAAGCCACACUGGAACUGAGACACGGUCCAGACUCCUACGGGAGGCAGCAGUGGGGAAUAUUGCACAAUGGGCGCAAGCCUGAUGCAGCCAUGCCGCGUGUAUGAAGAAGGCCUUAGGGUUGUAAAGUACUGUCAGCGGGGAGGCGUUACCCGCAGAAGAAGCACCGGCUAACUCCGUGCCAGCCGCCGCGGUAAUAC
rnacentral:rRNA from 1 species